UACGGAGGGAGCUAGCGUUGUUCGGAAUUACUGGGCGUAAAGCGCGCGUAGGCGGCUUUGUAAGUUAGAGGUGAAAGCCCGGAGCUCAACUCCGGAACUGCCUUUAAAACUGCAUCGCUUGAAUCCAGGAGAGGUGAGUGGAAUUCCGAGUGUAGAGGUGAAAUUCGUAGAUAUUCGGAAGAACACCAGUGGCGAAGGCGGCUCACUGGACUGGUAUUGACGCUGAGGCGCGAAAGCCAGGGGAGCAAACGGG
rnacentral:rRNA from 1 species